CAGGCGGUCACCUCAGAGAGAGCAGGAUGAGGCCAGAGACGGAGAGCGCGUCCAGGACGGCCCUAAAAAGGCCACGUUUCGGGCAGUAAGACUCAGAGGUGUCCCCAGCCCAUUCUGCACAAAAGUUUACUUUCUUAUAAAGAUUCGUUCCCUUCACCUCGCCUUUUGGUUCUCCCGGACGCAAAGAAACGAAUGAAGCUCAGGCUUUGAAUCCCUGUUCACCAGCUGUCAGAGCACUAGCUGUCAUACUGAGCUUCGAUGGGAUGUUUGUAGGCCAAAAAAGUAGAGCUGAGCUUUGAAACCCUGCUCUCACAGUCCAACUGUCUUCAUUGACUUUCUAGGGCUAAAAAUAUGAGACCUCUGAAUCACCAGCCAGGAGUCACUUCUGCUAAUUUUUGUUAUAAAGGACUUAGGGGCAAAUUUUCUAAGCACAGAAGAAAUGAAACAGGUUUACAUUCAGUUUUAUGCCUAAAAUAUUUCAGUAAUAAAUAAACACUGCUACUACUUUUCAAAAGCUAGUUUUUUAAAAACCUUUCUGCACUUUCAAAACUAUCCAAUUAACAUCUGUAUUCCACUUCUUGAGAACAACUUUUAGAAAUAAAUCGGCUCAUGUAGAGGAGUAUCAUGUAAGCAGGGAUUAAGGGAGGUGUUGGGUGGAGAUUGCAUUAUUCAAUUAGUACUU